CUUAAAAAAAGUUUAAAUUCUAUUUUGAUAUAGUAAGCAGGGUUUUAAUUACACAUGAUAGAAUUUUAAAGAGACAAAAUUAAAAUGUUUAAGUAGAAUGUUUUCAUGGUUGAUCCAGAAGUCUUCUGUUGAAUAAGCAGUAAGUAUUCUUCCUUAUAAAAUUUUCAUAGUUGUUAUAAAUCCUGUUUAUUUUUGGAGCUAUCUGAUAACUAAAUAAUCUUCCUUAUUUCUUCUUUUAAUGAAAUGUUUGAUUUGUUUCUCAAUCAAUGAAGAUCCAGCUCCAGGUCCCACAGGGGCUCUUCUUCCCCACGAAAAAGAUCUUAUUCAAGUUCAUCAUCUUCUCCUGAGAGGAACAGAAAGAGAAGUCGUUCUAGAUCUUCUUCAUCUGGUGAUCGCAAAAAAAGACGAACAAGAUCACGGUCACCCGAAAGACGCCACAGGUCAUCAUCUGGAUCAUCCCAUUCUGGUUCCCGUUCAAGUUC
rnacentral:lncRNA from 1 species